CAUUGUCAUCACUACCUGAUUGUCAUUGCCGAUGUCAUUGUAGUGUCUACCUGUCCUUGUCGCUGUCGUCAUAGCGACACAAAUAAAGAGGCUGUUUGCAUAGUCUCAAAGUGAUCGCCAGUCCCAUGGAGGAAAGGUCUUUAAGCUCGUGACCAGUUUGAUCCCGGAUUUGUGUGUGGGAAGAGUGAACAGCAGCCAGGAGGAGCCAAGGUUACCUGGACAACAGGAAAGGGUAAAUGUGGGUUGCUGAGGAAGGAAAGCUGCUGCUCCAGACUGCAGACGCGGAAUGCCAGGUAGCACGAGGACAGGAUGAGGAGAAUGAUCCUGCCAACACAACCGAAUGGAAAUAGGAAAUCCAUAAAAAGCGCUCAGACUGCUGCUGGAGUUCCCCAGGAGGUCAGGAAGGGAGGAGGACACGGACACCACCGAGGGUUUCCUUCUCCACUUCAACACGGACGGAAAUUCGUCCUCUGCCGGGAACUCGUCGGGAGCCGGGAAUUCAUCCUGG